rnacentral:rRNA from 1 species
AUUGAACGCUGGCGGCAGGCCUAACACAUGCAAGUCGAACGAGUGGCGGACGGGGGGGUAAUGGCUGGGAAACUGCCUGAUGGAGGGGGAUAACUACUGGAAACGGUAGCUAAUACCGCAUACCAUCCGAUGGGCCCAGAUGGGAUUAGCUUGUUGGUGGGGUAACGGCUAACCAAGGCGACGCUCCCUAGCUGGUCUGAGAGGAUGACCAGCCACACUGGAACUGAGACACGGCCCAGACUCCUACGGGAGGCAGCAGUUGGGAAUAUUGCACAAUGGGCGCAAGCCUGAUGCAGCAAUGCCGCGUGAAUGAAGAAGGCCUUCGGGUUUUAAAGUUCUGUCAGCGGGGAGGCGUUACCCGCAGAAGAAGCACCGGCUAACUCCGUGCCAGCAGCCGCGGUAAUUC